AAGCAAAAGAUAUAACC
rnacentral:sRNA from 1 species